GACGAGGCACUACGGUGCUGAAGCAACAAAUGCCCUGCUUCCAGGAAAAGCCUCUAAGCAUCAGGUAACAUCAAAUCGUACCCCAAACCGACACAGGUGGUCAGGUAGAGAAUACCAAGGCGCUUGAGAGAACUCGGGUGAAGGAACUAGGCAAAAUGGUGCCGUAACUUCGGGAGAAGGCACGCUGACACGUAGGUGAAGUGAUUUACUCAUGGAGCUGAAGUCAGUCGAAGAUACCAGCUGGCUGCAACUGUUUAUUAAAAACACAGCACUGUGCAAACACGAAAGUGGACGUAUACGGUGUGACGCCUGCCCGGUGCCGGAAGGUUAAUUGAUGGGGUCAGCGCAAGCGAAGCUCCUGAUCGAAGCCCCGGUAAACGGCGGCCGUAACUAUAACGGUCCUAAGGUAGCGAAAUUCCUUGUCGGGUAAGUUCCGACCUGCACGAAUGGCGUAAUGAUGGCCAGGCUGUCUCCACCCGAGACUCAGUGAAAUUGAACUCGCUGUGAAGAUGCAGUGUACCCGCGGCAAGACGGAAAGACCCCGUGAACCUUUACUAUAGCUUGACACUGAACAUUGAGCCUUGAUGUGUAGGAUAGGUGGGAGGCUUUGAAGUGUGGACGCCAGUCUGCAUGGAGCCGACCUUGAAAUACCACCCUUUAAUGUUUGAUGUUCUAACGUGGACCCGUAAUCCGGGUUGCGGACAGUGUCUGGUGGGUAGUUUGACUGGGGCGGUCUCCUCCUAAAGAGUAACGGAGGAGCACGAAGGUUGGCUAAUCCUGGUCGGACAUCAGGAGGUUAGUGCAAUGGCAUAAGCCAGCUUGACUGCGAGCGUGACGGCGCGAGCAGGUGCGAAAGCAGGUCAUAGUGAUCCGGUGGUUCUGAAUGGAAGGGCCAUCGCUCAACGGAUAAAAGGUACUCCGGGGAUAACAGGCUGAUACCGCCCAAGAGUUCAUAUCGACGGCGGUGUUUGGCACCUCGAUGUCGGCUCAUCACAUCCUGGGGCUGAAGUAGGUCCCAAGGGUAUGGCUGUUCGCCAUUUAAAGUGGUACGCGAGCUGGGUUUAGAACGUCGUGAGACAGUUCGGUCCCUAUCUGCCGUGGGCGCUGGAGAACUGAGGGGGGCUGCUCCUAGUACGAGAGGACCGGAGUGGACGCAUCACUGGUGUUCGGGUUGUCAUGCCAAUGGCACUGCCCGGUAGCUAAAUGCGGAAGAGAUAAGUGCUGAAAGCAUCUAAGCACGAAACUUGCCCCGAGAUGAGUUCUCCCUGAGACUUAGAGUCUCCUGAAGGAACGUUGAAGACGACGACGUU
rnacentral:rRNA from 1 species